GAACCACAUGAGCCAGUUCAUGUUCUUAAAGAACCCACAUCUAGACCUUGGGGGUGCCCAAGUGUCCAGAAAACCCACAAAACCCAAGCGUUAGAGUCCUUCCACCAGGCCCACGUGUCCUUUCUCCUCACCUAAUUCCACUAAGCUGACAAAAAACAAAACACAAAACCAAACAAACGAACAAACAAACAGU